rnacentral:piRNA from 1 species
UAUUUAUUGAGGGCCAUACUAUGUGCCGG